rnacentral:rRNA from 1 species
AACUGGGAUUACCUUAGUAACGGCGAGUGAAGCGGUAAAAGCUCAAAUUUGAAAUCUGGUACUUUCAGUGCCCGAGUUGUAAUUUGUAGAAUUUGUCUUUGAUUAGGUCCUUGUCUAUGUUCCUUGGAACAGGACGUCAUAGAGGGUGAGAAUCCCGUUUGGCGAGGAUACCUUUUCUCUGUAAGACUUUUUCGAAGAGUCGAGUUGUUUGGGAAUGCAGCUCAAAGUGGGUGGUAAAUUCCAUCUAAAGCUAAAUAUUGGCGAGAGACCGAUAGCGAACAAGUACAGUGAUGGAAAGAUGAAAAGAACUUUGAAAAGAGAGUGAAAAAGUACGUGAAAUUGUUGAAAGGGAAGGGCAUUUGAUCAGACAUGGUGUUUUUUGCAUGCACUCGCCUCUCGUGGGCUUGGGCCUCUCAAAAAUUUCACUGGGCCAACAUCAAUUCUGGCAGCAGGAUAAAUCAUUAAGAAUGUAGCUACUUCGGUAGUGUUAUAGCUUUUUGGAAUACUGUUAGCCGGGAUUGAGGACUGCGCUUCGGCAAGGAUGUUGG